UGUGGUUUGUGUUAAUGUGGAGCUGGACAAAGAAUUUGAAUUGCCUGGAUAAAGAAAACAGAUCUCCACUGUCUUCAGGAAGCUAGCUGAAGCUGGAACAUGUGUGCUCAGGAAGAACUAUAUUGGAACAAUCUCAGAGAGUCAAGAUCAUAUAAAGGCUGGAUAAAGUGUCUUAGGGAAGAACUUACCUUCCUGAGAAGAGAGGACAACUGAAACAAAAGGUUAUUAGAUUGAGGAUGAGACUGGAUGGAAGGACACUACAGAACAGUAGCAGAACUUGCUGAGUCACUGCAGGUGGGGGCAAAGAUCCUGCUGUCCAGACGGCUAGAUGUGGUUUCUUGAUAUGUGUUUGAAAAUCCUUCCCAUGAUUAGGUUACACAUUUGAAAACCUUCCCUUGCGAUCUUGGUAUAUACCCACUGAAAAUGUCAUUGAGCAGGUGUGGAUACACACCACGUUGCUGGAACCACCAACAUCUGUUUUCAAAUGGAUACAUUGUGGGAAUGUGACUGAAAGAAAGAAGGAACACAAUCUUGGAGAACCCAGAGCACCUCAGUUAAAUUUACCUGCAGAUCAAGAGAAAGAGGUUACCACUCUGCUGAUUAUUGUGUGAAAUGAACAAAUCUGCAACAGAGAUAUCAGAUGCAAAAGCAAUCAGUCAAUCAAUUCCCCCAUUCUCCUCCAAUAUCUCUUCUUAUACAUAUUCCACUCAGUCCCUCAACAGAUAAGAACUGAAACACAUGAUUGCUGAUAGAAAUUUUCCUUUUCAACAACAAUAGGCUGCAAUUGAAAGAGAUGCAGUGUGCCAACAUCAGGAAGACUUUCUCACAGUCACCGGAAAUUAAUCAGCUCUGUCAAUUACCUUCAAAAGCCCAAAUACUUGAAGGAGCACCUCUCCCAGAAUGUACCAGAUGGGUUGCUGAGAUCUGCAGAGGGGCCCUUCUUGUGAUCCUGCUGAUGGCUAAAUCUUGAAGUCAUGGAUGUGGCCUUCAGAUGUUGUUGAACACCAGACUCCAUCCAUCCCAUCCCUGCUGCGAGGGCUAUCUGGGUGCAAUCCUCUAUAUAGCUGCUUGUAAGUUAAGUUCAACUGAGAUCAAUAAGAUACUUUUGAUUAAAUGGAGAACCACAGUUUGGAUUAUUCUGAACUGGAAUCCUGAUUAUAGUGGAUAUCCUCCCAUCAACUAAUUGUAAUUUUAAGUGAAGAUUUUUUUACUUUUAAAGAAAUCAGUGCAGAAAAAAAUAAGGUAAAAGAAAGGAUUUGACUUAAACAAAAUCAACAACUGCACCCAUCUGAAGUGCUUGCUAGCCAUGCUUCCCAGCUUCUCUCACCUCAAUGGAAAACCCAAGGGAAGUCAUCAUAAGAUAGUUCCUCCCGUGUGGUUUUUCAAGAUGAGGAAGCAUAGGCAGGCUGGGAGGCUAAAUUGGAGAAAUGUUUGAUGGGAAGGAAAACACCACACAUACGCCACACACAGCCACAUCACAUUUUUAAAGAAAGCUCAAUCCCACACCUGUGACAUCAAGAAGAAAUUCUAAGGUGCCCUGUGAAGCUUCUUUUGCAAUUGAAGAAAACAUUUGAAAAUUGGAUGGCACACUUUGGCACAGCACUAAUAAAGACAAUACUCAGGAAAGGUCCUCUGUAGAAGAACUUAGAUCAUGGGCAAGCCAUUUUCUUGUUGAACAAUAUGGCCAAGAACAUGUGUGUAACUCUUGGCAUCUCACCAAAAUCUCUAUGCUCCACCAGAAAUCUGAAGUGGCAUCUCUGUCCAAACCCACUGACUUGGUUAAACAUCAUUGUUUUUAUUUAUUUUAUGCAUUCAAAGAUCCUGACUUUCAAUACAGGUUAUUGAAGAUAAACCCAUUGUUCCUUUUGCUCCUCCUAGAAUCUUUCUCUCUCUCUCUCUUUCAUUUUAGUCAAGUUUGCACUGGAUCCUAGAAGGAUGUAGUUAAUCACUGUAUUACAGUGAUUAAAAUGGAGAUGUUAACAUCUUAAACAAAACUUUUGAGCUUCCACCUUCUUCAGCUGUGAAUCAAAGGCUUCUGUAACCAAGAUGCUGCAUUUGCGGUAGCUGAGUGAUGUCAGACACUAUUCUCCAGGUUGAGGCCAUGUGGUGUUAAGGAGUCAAGCUGAUAGAACCAGAUGUUUUCUCUCAAAUGGCAUCUCAACUGCAAUUACUGAUUAAUCAGAGACGCUGUAAUUAUCUGAAUUUAAAUGAUUUGCAACUGGUUGAUUCCUUUUUUAUUUUUUUUGUCUGACAAUGAUUUAUGAUUCCUAAAUCAUGCCUAUAGGUCAAGUGUUUUAUCCAUGUACUGAAUAUGGGAUCUUGUGUAUUUGCACUAAACAAUAUAAAUUACAUUGCAGGACAUGGAGAUGAUGUUUUGUUUGA